rnacentral:rRNA from 1 species
CCUACGGGGGGCAGCAGUAGGGAAUCUUCCACAAUGGGCGCAAGCCUGAUGGAGCAACACCGCGUGAGUGAAGAAGGGUUUCGGCUCGUAAAGCUCUGUUGUUAGAGAAGAACGUUCGUGAGAGUAACUGUUCACGCAUUGACGGUAUCCAACCAGAAAGGCACGGCUAACUACGUGCCAGCAGCCGCGGUAAUACGUAGGUGGCAAGCGUUGUCCGGUUUUAUUGGGCGUAAAGCGAGCGGAGGCGGGCGUUUAGGUCUGAUGUGAAAGCCUUCGGCUUAACCGAAGAAGUGCAUCGGAUACUGGCAGACUUGAGUGCAGAAGAGGAAAGUGGAAUUCCAGGUGUAGCGGUGGAAUGCGUAGAUAUAUGGAAGAACACCAGUGGCGAAGGCGGCUGUCUGGUCUGCAACUGACGCUGAGGCUCGAAAGCAUGGGUAGCGAACAGGAUUAGAUACCCGAGUAGUC